rnacentral:tRNA from 1 species
GUCCUCGUAGCUUAAAAAAAGCAUGACACUGAAGAUGUCAAGAUGGCUGCUAAACACACCCAAGGACA